AAGUGAAGUAGAGUGUGAACUUAGUUCUAUAAUUUAAAAUACUUAUUACUUUGAGGAUCAAAGAGAAAUGGUGAAUAAAUAAAAAUGCUCUUACUUUUAAAUUCAAGUUUGUUCCAAUGUUUUACUUCAAUUAUCAGGCAAACCUUGUGAAUUAUACACAGCCAGAAAUGCCUUGAGCCUCUAUUAAAAGGCUAAUACUCCUCACAAACAUAGAAUGUGAAAUUAAAGUUCUGUGACAUCAGCACUCACCUGCAUAGCAUUGUUGGAGAAUAAUAUCCCAUAACUGUCAAGGUGGCUAAGAAACUGAGAACUAACUCAUGAAUUGCUCCUGGAAUAGUUUCUGGCACUUAGGAGGAAUGAUAAAUACUUCUACAUGUUGAAAUAAACCAAGAGAUCUAGAGAAGGGAAGGCUUUUCUUUAUAAUUGAUACAUGCAUCUGCUUACAGACUAGUUUCCAAGUGUAGCCAGGAAAUAUGAAGACUUGGCUGAAAGAAAAGUUUAUUUAGUAACUGAAAGGAAUCUUUUUUUUUUAUUUUUCAAAUAAAAACUCAUGACAAGAGAAUGAAAAGCAUCAUGCAAUGAGAUAACAUUGCAUAUUUUGCUUACAA